CAAUAUUUGUGUGAUAUUGUUUGGUAUAGAAAUAUUUUUUUCAAACAAUAGAAUAUUUCGAAAGUAAGAUAGGCAAUAAACAGACACGUUGAACAAUUUCAGGAUCUGGGUUGGUAACAUAUGUACACAAUUAGACGGUAAUAGAAUCGGUUAAACAAUUAAUUUUUAGGUAUUGGGUGGGCAAGUUAUUAAACCAUUAAAAGUACUAAUCAGGAGCUUCAUAGGUAACAUUGUCUACAAAAUUCGGAACCACUGGGCUUUCUCAUCAAAUAUUGCUAGUGGAACAUUUUUAGUUGCUGUGAUAAAAAUAUAAAUUAUGAUCUAAAAACAAAAUUGAAUGAUUAUUAUUGUAUGAUAUACAGAGAGUCAGGUGAACAAUUAAUUAUUAUAAUACAAAGUGAGUACAUUA